UACGAAGGGUGCAAGCGUUACUCGGAAUUACUGGGCGUAAAGCGUGCGUAGGUGGUGCGUUAAGUCUGUCGUGAAAGCCCCGGGCUCAACCUGGGAAUGGCGAUGGAUACUGGCGCGCUAGAGUGCGGUAGAGGAGAGUGGAAUUCCGGGUGUAGUGGUGAAAUGCGUAGAGAUCCGGAGGAACACCAGUGGCGAAGGCGACACGCUGGGCCGUACCUGACACUGAUGCGCGACAGCAUGGGGAGCAAACAGG
rnacentral:rRNA from 1 species